GUUCAGUAGCCAUCGGAGUUAGACAAGCAGCUAACAUUUUCCAAUGUCUGCACGUUAUCUAUGCGGUGGAGAAUAAAUUCGAUAUCAAGAUACGACAUUUAAGAAUUAACUGAAAAGAUGCUUUUCAAUACUUUCAUGGCGGUCACAGUUUUCAUCAAUCUUCUUGUCAGUUCCGAUUGUAGGUACAACAAGACAAGCAGAGAACUCGAGAGAGCUCCAUUCUCGCCUAAAACAACACCAAGUACUACCAUAAAAGGAGUCCCGACGACUAAGACAAUUACAA